rnacentral:rRNA from 1 species
ACCUACGGGGCGCAGCAGUGAGGAAUAUUGGUCAAUGGGCGCGAGCCUGAACCAGCCAAGCCGCGUGAGGGAUGAAGGUACAGAGUAUCGUAAACCUCUUUUGUCAGGGAACAAAGGCGGGGACGUGUCCCCGGAUGAGUGUACCUGAAGAAAAAGCAUCGGCUAACUCCGUGCCAGCAGCCGCGGUAAUACGGAGGAUGCGAGCGUUAUCCGGAUUUAUCGGGUUUAAAGGGUGCGCAGGCGGUCUGUUAAGUCAGCGGUCAAAGCCCGGGGCUCAACCCCGGCCCGCCGGUGCAACUGGCAGU